rnacentral:rRNA from 1 species
GAUGAACGCUGGCGGCGUGCCUAAUACAUGCAAGUCGAGCGAACAGACGAGGAGCUUGCUCCUCUGACGUUAGCGGCGGACGGGUGAGUAACACGUGGAUAACCUACCUAUAAGACUGGGAUAACUUCGGGAAACCGGAGCUAAUACCGGAUAAUAUAUUGAACCGCAUGGUUCAAUAGUGAAAGACGGUUUUGCUGUCACUUAUAGAUGGAUCCGCGCCGCAUUAGCUAGUUGGUAAGGUAACGGCUUACCAAGGCAACGAUGCGUAGCCGACCUGAGAGGGUGAUCGGCCACACUGGAACUGAGACACGGUCCAGACUCCUACGGGAGGCAGCAGUAGGGAAUCUUCCGCAAUGGGCGAAAGCUUGACGGAGCAACGCCGCGUGAGUGAUGAAGGUCUUCGGAUCGUAAAACUCUGUUAUUAGGGAAGAACAAAUGUGUAAGUAACUAUGCACGUUUUGACGGUACCUAAUCAGAAAGCCACGGCUAACUACGUG